ensembl:lncRNA
CUGAAGCUUUGUCCUCCUACUACCCUGCUCCUUACAGUUCCAAAGUUUCUUUUUCCCAAUGAGGCAAUGAUUGCCAUGAGUGGAAAGACAUCCCUGUGGAGAUUACUGAGAUGUGUUUGGAGCACGCCUUCAUGCCCAUGCAGUUUCGACAGAGCCUAUCACCAUGCAUGGGCUGAGGGAUGCAGUGAGGAGCUCUGGGCUACGACCAGCCGGGCUUUUCUUAGAUGAAACAAGCAUCCAACAUCAGGCAGGCAAACCCAGCUCCAUCCAAAAAAAACCCAGCACUGCAUGGAACAAGGUGGUGGAUGUGCAGGCAGCAGGAUUACCAGCGUCAUCCUGCCAGCUGGGGCUGCAAGGAGCGUG